rnacentral:rRNA from 1 species
UACGUAGGGUGCAAGCGUUAUCCGGAAUUAUUGGGCGUAAAGAGCUCGUAGGCGGUUUGUCGCGUCUGCUGUGAAAACCCGAGGCUCAACCUCGGGCCUGCAGUGGGUACGGGCAGACUAGAGUGCGGUAGGGGAGAUUGGAAUUCCUGGUGUAGCGGUGGAAUGCGCAGAUAUCUGGAGGAAUACCGGUGGCGAAGGCGGCAUCCUGGACCGGCAUUGACGCUGAGGAGCGAAAGCCAGGGGAGCAAACGGG